UUUGUCAUAGGUGUGUUACUUCUGCUGGUUCUGUAUCUGAUCUUCACAAGACACAGAAGUCGACGCCAAAACGGUAACCAACGAGAGAACAGGGAUGAUUCAGUGGAGGUGAACGAGAUUGAGAUGGGGCACAUGACCUCAGAUCAAAACAUUGGAAACGGAAGCACUGACACCAAGAACAUGAGGAAUGACACAGUGAAGACAGAGGAGGAGAAGCUCAUGUCCAGUCACAGCUCAGCUUCAGCUUCUGACCCUGGGGCCAAAAGGAAAAAAAAAAUCCCACUUUGAAUGUAA